rnacentral:rRNA from 1 species
AUGUAAAAGAUUAUUAAUAAAUCAAUUUUAAUAAUUUUAAUAUAAGUAAAUUUUUUUUAUUAUAAAUUAGAACUAAUAUUUUUUAAUUAUAGUUAAUUAGUAUUGAGAAAGAAUUUUAUUUUAUAUUUAAAAGAAAAAUUAAGUUUUUGUACCUUGUGUAUCAGGGUCUAUUAAAUUAAUUUAUUAAUUUAAAUUUCUCGAAUUUAAAAGAGCUAGAAAAAAAUAAUUAAUAUUGUUGAAUAAAUAUAUAUAAUUUUUUUUUAGUAAUGAAACGUUAUUCGUUUUUAAAUAUAUCUAGUUUUUUAAGAAAAAAAUUAAAUUUUAUUUUAGUAAAGUAAUUUAUUUAUUAAAUAAUGAAUUAUUUACUAAAUUAAAUAUUUUUAGGGAUUAGCUUAAAAAUAAAGUCUUAUAAAAUAAAUUAUUAAUAAUAGAAUAUAGAAUUAAAAAUUUUCAUUAUUUAUAAUUUGUUAUAAUUAUCUAUUUAAAAAUUAUUAUUUUUAUUAUUUUUAGAUUUUUUAUUAAAAUAUUAAUUUUAAUAUUUAAAAUUAAGUAAUAAUGAUAGAAUUAGUAUAUUUAAAAUUAUGAAUAAAAUUAAUUUUUAGGUUAAAUAAAGGAAUUCGGCAAAGGAUUUUUCACCUGUUUAUUAAAAACAUGUCUUUUUGAAAUUAAUAUAAAGUCUAACCUGCCCACUGAUAAUUUAAAUGGCCGCGGUAUUUUGACUGUGCUAAGGUAGCAUAAUCAUUUGUUCUUUAAUUGAGAGCUGGAAUGAACGGUUGGAUGGGAAAUAACUGUCUCUAUUUAAUUAAUGUAGAAUUUUAUUUUUAAGUUAAAAAGCUUAAAUUUUCUUUAAAGACGAGAAGACCCUAUAGAGUUUUAUUUAUAGUUAUAAUUAAUAUAUUUUAGUAUUAAUAUAGUUAAUUUAAUUAUAAUUUUAAUUGGGGUGAUUGAAAAAUUUAAUUAACUUUUUUUAUUUUUUAACAUAAAUUUAUGAAUAAAUGAUCCAAUAUUUUUGAUUAUAAGAUAAAGUUACCUUAGGGAUAACAGCGUAAUUUUUUUUGAGAGUUCUUAUCGAAAAAAAAGAUUGCGACCUCGAUGUUGGAUUAAAAUUAAUUUUUGGCGCAGGAGCUAGGAUAUUAAGUCUGUUCGACUUUUAAAAUUUUACAUGAUCUGAGUUUAAACCGGCGUAAGCCAGGUUGGUUUCUAUCUUAAAUUAUUUAUAAUAUUUUAGUACGAAAGGAUUUAAUAUUAAAUAAAAUAUUUAUAUUUAGAAUAAAAUU